AUGACGUGAGUUGUCCCUUUGUAAUAAUAGUUUACACCUGUGAAUUUAGGAAAAUUCGGCUUUCAAUAACAUUUUCUUAUUACAUUUGAAUUUAGUUUUAAUGUUCACUCAGUAAUUGGAAGGAUUUACUACGAUUUAUCCCAAUUCAUGGUGCAGCACUACAAGCAGGGCUUGGAAGCAUAAAGAAAAUUGAAUACUGUAUUUCACAAUAGUUGCGAAGAACAAAUUAUGUUUUUUUUUGUAUUUUCUUAAACCUUUAUUUUUUGUUUGGUUUUUUAGAGAUAUACAUGUUUUGUUUUAUAUUUUUUUAUAAUCAAUAUAUAUUAGGUUUUUAUAAA